GUUGGAGUAGAAAUCCGACUGCUGGAGCCCGUCCAUUGUAGAAGUUCGUACGAAAUCCAUCCGCUGUAGAAGUUCGGACGGAGUCCGAUUCUUGCAGGAGCUCGGAUGAAAUUCAGAAGGUGGUCGACCACCGUAGAAACUUGGAUGGAGUCUGGUUACUGUAGAAGUUCUACUGCUGGAGAAGCUUGAACAUUGACGAAGUCCGGAAGAAGCUCGGAGUGAAGUCGAUCGUGAUAGGAG
rnacentral:lncRNA from 1 species